GGAGGGGAGUGAAAUAGAACCUGAAACCGUAUGUCUACAAGCAGUCGAAGCACUUUAUAUGUGCGACGGCGUGCCUAUUGAAGAAUGAACCGGCGAGUUAUCCGUUGUGGCGAGGUUAAGUGGAAGACACGGAGCCGAAGCGAAAGCGAGUCUUAAUAGGGCGGCAAGUCACAGCGGGUAGACCCGAAACCACAGUGAUCUAUGCAUGGCCAGGUUGAAGCUCAGGUAAAAAUGAGUGGAGGACCGAACCCGUGAGUGUUGAAAAACUUUGGGAUGAGCUGUGCAUAGGGGUGAAAUGCCAAUCGAACGUGGAGAUAGCUGGUUCUCCCCGAAAUAGCUUUAGGGCUAGCCUCAGGGAAUGCACAUAGACGGUAGAGCUCUGAUCGGGCUAGGGGGCGUAAAGCCUACCGACCCCAGUCAAACUGCGAAUGGCUAUGUGAGAAGAACCUGGGAGUCAGACUGCGAGUGAUAAGACCCGUAGUCAAGAGGGAAACAGCCCAGACCGCCGACUAAGGUCCCCAAUGCUGUACUAAGUGGAAAAGGAUGUAGGACUUCAGAAACAACCAGGAUGUUGGCUCAGAAGCAGCCACCAUUUAAAGAGUGCGUAAUAGCUCACUGGUCGAGAGGCCCUGCGCCGAAAAUAUCCGGGGCUCAAGUACAGAACCGAAGUCGCGGCAUGCGCAAGCAUGGGUAGGGGAGCGUUGAAACAGCGGAGAAGGCGUACCGGAAGGAGCGCUGGAGCGGUUUCAAGAGAGAAUGCCGGUAUGAGUAGCGAAAAGGACGGUGAGAAUCCGUCCCACCGAAAGCCUAAGGUUUCCUGAGCAACGCUCGUCGACUCAGGGUAAGUCGGGACCUAAGCCGAGGCAGCAAGCAUAGGCGAUGGACAACAGGCUAAUAUUCCUGUACCCGCAGGUUUUGUUUGAGCAAUGGAGUGACGCAGGAGAAAGUGGGAGCUGGCUGCUGGAUUAGCCAGUCGAAGGCUGCAGGCUGCGGAGGAGGCAAAUCCCUUCCGUAACGGCUCAGAGCUGAUAGAUAGAUGACCCUCGGGGAGUCAAAUUUCCAUGAAUCACACUGCCGAGAAAAGCUUCUAGUGAGAAACUUGUGGCCCGUACCAAAACCGACACAGGUAGGCGGGGAGAGUAUCCUAAGGUGCGCGGGAAAACCCUCGUUAAGGAACUCGGCAAAAUGCAUCCGUAACUUCGGGAUAAGGAUGACCGGAGCUGGUGAACUCCCUGCGGAGGAAGCUGGAGCCGGUGGCAGAAGAGAGGCCCAAGCGACUGUUUACCAUAAACACAGGUGCCUGCUAAAGAGAAAUCUGACGUAUAGGUGCUGACACCUGCCCGGUGCUGGAAGGUUAAGAGGAGGGGUCAGGCUAAGGCUGAAGCUCUGAAUUGAAGCCCCAGUAAACGGCGGCCGUAACUAUAACGGUCCUAAGGUAGCGAAAUUCCUUGUCGGGUAAGUUCCGACCCGCACGAAAGGUGUAACGAUUUGGGCACUGUCUCAACGAGGGACCCGGUGAAAUUGAAAUACCUGUGAAGAUGCAGGUUACCCGCGACUGGACAGAAAGACCCCAUGGAGCUUUACUGCAGCUUGGCAUUGAUCUUUGGCAUGUAAUGUACAGGAUAGGUGGGAGACUUGGAAGCAGGGACGCAAGUCACUGUGGAGUCGCUGUUGGGAUACCACCCUUUGCAUGCUAGGGAUCUAACCCUGGGACUAACAAAACCGGGGACAGUGCCAGGCGGGCAGUUUGACUGGGGCGGUCGCCUCCGAAAGAGUAACGGAGGCGUCCAAAGGUUCCCUCAGCGCGGACAGAAAUCGCGCGAAGAGUAUAAAGGCAGAAGGGAGCUUGACUGCGAGACUGACGGGUCGAGCAGGUACGAAAGUAGGGCUUAGUGAUCCGGUGGAAUGAAAGUGGAAUUGCCAUCGCUCAACGGAUAAAAGCUACCCUGGGGAUAACAGGCUAAUCUCUCCCAAGAGUCCAUAUCGACGGGGAGGUUUGGCACCUCGAUGUCGGCUCAUCACAUCCUGGGGCUGAAG
rnacentral:rRNA from 1 species